UUCUAAGAGGUUGAGGAGGUGCCUCUUUACUGACCAUGGUGCUAUGGGCUGGCAAUUGCCACCCUCUGUUCUCCUGUGACAGGUCUGUGUUCAGCUGGGUACUACUGUGAAGGAGGAGCCACUGAUGUCAUUCCCCGAGGGACACCUGCCUUCCCACUCAAUGGGCCCUGCCCACUUGGGCACUAUUGUCCAGAGGGUACUCAUUUCCCAAUUGCCUGCCCAGCUGGGACCCUGAACAAUGCCACAGGUGAGCAGGACUUUACCCGCAGGUUUCUCCUGUGGUCCACAGUGAUGAGGAACUUCAUUGCUGCUUGUCAUGGUGAGGGGGUGGCCUGAUGGUGACAAUGUGUUAUCAAUUGAAAUAAGCGCUGAUGGUGCUGUGACUGUACUGGGUGUCCUUCCAUCUCCCCCUGUCACUGGCCUUGACUUUUGGUUCCCUCCUCAGGUGGUACGUCCCCGGAGAGCUGUGUGCCAUGCCAUCCUGGGUCUUUCUGUGCUGGCACUGGUUUGAGUUCUCCAACAGGACCUUGUACUGAGGGGUUUUACUGCCCGGCAAACUUCAGCUCCAUCAGCCCCACGGCUUUCCUCUGCCCUAAGGUAUUGCUUAGUGACAGCGGGGCAGUGAAAGAGGUGGGUCUCAGCUCUGGGCAGGAGGUGUUGGUUUUCCACAGUGGCAAAGGAUCGAACAUGCCUCAUUGAAAUGUUGAUUACAUCCACACGGAGUGUUGGCCGAGGCUUUGGUAAUUCUGGGAUUCACUCUUUACACAGACCCUGAGUUUUUCACCAUCUCCCUGCAAUCCUCUUCCUUCUCUGUCAUUGCCAGGGUCACUUCUGCCAGACAGGGGCAGCCCUCCCCAUGCCGUGCCCUGCUGGGGAAUACCAGCCGGCCAGGGGCUCUGCAUCCUGUGUUCCGUGCCAGAGAGGAUUCUACUGCCAGGAGCCAGUGGCAGGAGACCCCAAGCGCUGCCCACCACAUUCUUACUGUCCUACAGGCACAUGGGUUCCUCUCACGUGUCCUGAAGGCACCUUCACUCCUGCAAACAUGACUGGCCUCUGGAACGAGGAGGAAUGCCUGCCUUGCUUACCCGGUCACUACUGCAGGCACGGACGGCUGGAGGGGAAGUGUGCUGCUGGAUAUUUCUGCUUUGCUGGGAGCUCUCAAUCUGCUCCCCAGGGCCACAGCUUUUCCUGGCGCUUCCUCUCUGGGUGCCGCUGGGGUCAGGCUUGUGCAGGGCUGUGUCCUGCAGGUAAGUGGGAAUCUCAAUAGUUUUUCAAGUAUAGAAUAUUGAUUUGCUUCUAAGCAACUGGAGAGCAUCUUUUAUCUUGCAU
rnacentral:lncRNA from 1 species